AGGGGAGGGUGUGAAUGCAGACCCCAGAAAGCUGCAAGGAUGGAGAAAGGGCAUUGCAUUCUCACCUAAGCAAACCAUUUUGAUUCGCUGGGGGAAAACUGAAUGGAGGUCUCAAAUGAGCACUCAAACCCAGAAGAAGGUAUGUGUUCCCCGCAAAAUAAUACCUGGUGGUGCUCGUCCCCGGAUCCAGGCCAGUCAUCAGAUUCAGAGCUGUCCUUCUGCCUGGGAAAUCUUCAUUGCUGUGAAGGUUCCACCCCUCGGAGGAGACUUCAGCUGACGCCGGAACUUCUGACUCCAAGCCCGACUCAGAAAGCAGUGGUUUCCCCAGAGAUGACGACGCCGACAGAUAUACCCAAAGGGGCAGAAUGCAAGCACAAAAGAGAGGGGUAAGUGUGUU